rnacentral:rRNA from 1 species
AUUGAACGCUGGCGGCAGGCCUAACACAUGCAAGUCGAGCGGAUGAACGGAGCUUUCUCCUGGUUUCAGCGGCGGACGGGUGAGUAAUUCCUAGGAAUCUGCCUUGUUGUUGUGUUUAACGUCCUUAAACGGGCUCUAAUACCCCAUCCUUCCUUAUGUUUAACGUGGGGGUUCUUCGGUCCUCACGCUUUCUUUUGUCCCUAGGUCGUAUUAGCUAGUUGUUUGGUUAAAGUCCUACCAAGGCUACGAUCCGUAACUGGUAUGAGAGGAUGAUCAGUCACACUGGAACUGAGACACGGUAAAGACUACUACGGGAGGCAGCAGUGGGGAAUAUUGGACAAUGGGCGAAAGCAUGAUAAAGCAAAGCCGAGUGAGUGAAGAAGGACUUCGGAUUGUAAAGCACUUUAAGUGGGGAGGAAGGGCAGGAAGUUAAUAACUGGAUGUUUUGACGUUAACAAAAGAAUAAGCACCGGCUAACUUCGUG